CAAUACUUUGGUGGCGACCGGCGCACGGGUGCGUAACGCGUAUGUAACCUACCUAUAACAGGGGCAUAACACUGAGAAAUUGGUACUAAUUCCCCAUAAUAUUCGGAGAGGCAUCUCUCCGGGUUGAAAACUCCGGUGGUUAUAGAUGGACAUGCGUUGUAUUAGCUAGUUGGUGAGGUAACGGCCCACCAAGGCAACGAUACAUAGGGGGACUGAGAGGUUAACCCCCCACACUGGUACUGAGACACGGACCAGACUCCUACGGGAGGCAGCAUG
rnacentral:rRNA from 1 species